UACGGAAGUAUAUUCGUAUAUUUGUUUUACGUAUCUUGGAGGUUGUACUUAGAUAGAUUCUCCUAUAUCUUAGAGGUUUGUUAUUUCUCUUGUUAUAUAUGUACUCUCUCGUCUCAUUGAUGAAUACAACAACUUCUUUGGCUACUGCGUAUCUUUUAAUAACUUCUACUACGAAACAAUUAGGGUUUCUACGACAUAACAUACAGUUUUUUUCAUGGUUAUGUGGUAUUUCAUGUCUUACGGCUUCAAAAGCAUACCCAUAUGUUAAGUUCAUUAUAUAUAUGUGUGUGUGUGUGUUCUAGGCUUUCUUGAAGUAUCUUGUUGAUCUUAUGGCCCCAAAGGCAAAUGUUCAUCAAAAUCUAUAUGUAGGUCAAACGAAGAUGUCAAUAACAAUGGGCAAGAGAAGAAGGUUUUCUCUUUUGUUUAUUCCCUUGUGCGGUAAUAGCUCAACCCUCUCUCUAUAUAUCUCUCUCUAUAUACUCUCAGAUUGAAAAUGAUACACAUCAAUGGUUUCUCAAAGUAUUUUAUUAGAUUAUAGUCUUUGAGUCGCAAUAUAUUUGUAACAUGAUUUAGCUGGGGACUCUUAAGACCUAUCCACGAUAGUGUAAGGUUAUGGAAUCUGGUGAAUGUGAGGAUGAUGAAAUCAAGUGAACCCGAAAGUAGUAACGAUCAUAAGAUUCGGUAACGAUGGUAAAAUCCGAUGACGACGGUGAGAUCCGGUGACGACGAGGAGAGAUACGAAAAGACGACGUUGAAAAUGAGACGGUGGUGAUGAUGAGAUCCAGUGAUAACGGCGGUUUGUGUGGUGGACCGGUGGUGAGAAGAAAGCAGUAGAAGUUGGUGCUAAGAUCUUAAUUUACAAAAUGACUAAAUUUCAAUCUCGACUUUAUGAACAGCGGCGAUGACGACUGUGAGCCUCGCCUUGAUAAUGGUGGCUUCAUCGCUGUUAAACGCUUCAAUCAUCUUCUUCGGAUCCAACCUACAUAGUUCUUGUAGCCAUUCUCUUUAUCAAUUGUAUACAUGUAAUUUUCUAAUUUGGUUUAGAUGUGAAGAUGAAUUGGAAGUUUUAAUUGGUACCUUUGGGUUCACUAGAUUGUAUCCUAUUAGGGUUUAGUUUUCUUUAUUAAAAAUUAAGAAUUGUCGCUGGAAAAUCAGAUUGUAUCACCGUAUGAACAAAACAAAACAAAAAGUUCAGAAAAGCUCAGAAAAUCAGAUUGGAUCA